UUCUCGUUCCUGCUGCUGAGGAUUCUUCUUUACCAGUUUUAACAGGAAUGAGUGUUUAUGUGAACAUCUCUUGAGAGACCCACACUGUGGAAGAUACUUACAAGACUGGGUUAUAUUUCUGGAAGAGCAAAUUCAUCUCUUGUCUCUCCAGAAGACUGACUUAUUCCCCCACAUUUAUCCCAGACAAGAAAAUGACUCAGUAUUUCAUUCAAGCUAAAUUUGAGCAGAACUAAGUUCCUUUUCAGGAACCCUCCCCAGCUUCUCUGAUGAGCACUUGUCAUGUUUGGAGAAACUGCCCACCUGAAGCAAAUAAAAACUUACAACACUGGACAUCUUUGAUGCAGCCCCAGAUAAAUGUUGUGCUGGGAUUUCUUGGAGAGCAGGUAUCCUGGGAGUAUACAGCAGCCUUGUCUCCAAGGAAAGACAUGCAGGAAGCACUGAGAG